UACGUAGGGUGCGAGCGUUUGUCCGGAAUUAUUGGGCGUAAAGAGCUCGUAGGCGGUCUGUCGCGUCGAUCGUGAAAACUUGGGGGCUUAACCCUGAGCUUGCGGUCGAUACGGGCAUGACUGGAGUUCGGCAGGGGAGACUGGAAUUCCUGGUGUAGCGGUGAAAUGCGCAGAUAUCAGGAGGAACACCGGUGGCGAAGGCGGGUCUCUGGGCCGAUGACUGACGCUGAGGAGCGAAAGCGUGGGGGAGCGAACAGG
rnacentral:rRNA from 1 species